CGCGGCCGAGUCCUAGGCUAGCCGCCGCUGCCCCCUCCCCCCAGCUUUUUUCCUCUCUUCUUCCCGUAGCAGCCCCCAGUUAAUAUUCAUUCCAGCAGCACGUUGCAAUGACAUUUGGUCUUCUCAGCCGUGAACUGCAAAGAAAACAGGAUUAAUUCCCCUGGCAACAGCAACAAGCUUCUUCCUUCUGCACCAGCAACGACCGCACUAGUAAAUCAGCGGUGCAACUUCUUCUUCCCCAACAUAUCAUCUUCCUUUAUGCCAUAUUGUGAGCCGUUCAGCAUGUGCUCCUACAACAACAGCAGCGCAGCAGAGGCCGGGGAAGGAAAAACCAGAGAAUAAGGACCCGAAAACCAGAGAAGAAAAACAGAAGCAUUGACCAGA
rnacentral:lncRNA from 1 species